rnacentral:rRNA from 1 species
UGAGCAAUCUGCCCUUCUCAUCGGAAUAAGCGUUGGAAACGACGUCUAAUGCCGAAUACGACCUCCUUUCGCAUGAUCGGAGGUGGAAAGCUCCGGCGGAGAAGGAUGAGCUCGCGGCCUAUCAGCUAGUUGGUGUGGGUAAUGGCCCACCAAGGCGACGACGGGUAGCCGGCCUGAGAUGGUGACCGGCCAUACGUGGGACUGAGACACGGCCCAGACUCCGUAGGGAGG